UGAAAAUAUUUGGUAACUGUCUCAAGUUCAAGGUCAAAAAGCAACGCACACUCAAGUGAAGCAUAAGGGUGUGAGAUACAUAAACUAACUAGUAGCUAGAUACCUCAAGUGAAGUCUUAGACACACCGAAGAAAGCUCGGACACCAAAGAAAACAAACCCUCGAAGAGCAAACCCAAACUGCACUCACUGCAGUUUCCGGACUGUCCGGGUUUAGCGGCGGACUGUCCGCGGCUCGAGCCGGACUGUCCAUGACAGCUUGUCGGACUGUCCGCUGGCACCAACCUGAAAAGAGGGAAAACAUGCAACAGUCGCUCACAGCUCACACAUAAGUAGACUGUCCGCAGUUCAAAUUUUUAAUCACGUCAGACAUGUUUGAAUGCAGGCCAAACCAAAAUGGAAAGACAGGCCAAAUUCACUACUUUUUUUGUAUAUCGAAAUGUAGUCAACUUUGGUCUUGGUUUGUCGGUUAAAUUGCGAGGCAUACAAAACUACGUACAAAACAUAUGGAUGCACGGUUUAGUAAAUACUGUUAUCCAAAAGGAGACACAUUUAAUCUAGCCAGCUGUCAGCCACAUGCCUCGUCAUCUGUUGCCACGUAGACCGCCCAAAAUGCUGAAGGGGUAAAUCUGCAUCCCAGAAAUACGGCCCGUUCUCUUUUUUUUCAGGACUGUAGGUACAAGGCCAAUUUCUUCUGGAUUUGCAGAAAAUAAAUAAAUAAAUAAAUACCUUUCGAGUGAGAAAAAUAAGUGUUUGAGCCUAUUAUUGUGUAGCCCUUAGUGGUUUGUUUUAACUUAGGGGCUGUUUGGUUCACACCCAUACUUUGCCUGCCUAAGCUUCGGUGAGCCACGGAGUGGAGGCAGCUGUUUGGUUCUAUUUUUAGCUGUGGCGGCCACAUGCUUUUCUUUCUUGUCUUUUGCUGCUUGUGGUUGUCGUGUAGCGCAUGGCGAUUGUGGCGAGGCCGUGGCGGGCGUUUUCUCCGCCACCGCCAUGCCAUGCUGCGGCUGCCAUUAUUGUGGCGUGGCACAGUGUGGCCGUGAACCAAACAACCCCUAUACGCUGGGCAGCCCAAAGUUUCGGAGGUUGACCCAUUUAGAUCCAACCCAUGCGUGAGCGUGAAUCCUGCAUGGGCUAUAGGCCCAAAACCUGAGCCUAUGCCCUAUGGCCAGGAAUCAAUCAGCGUCCCCAACCUGGUCUGUUCAGCCCACGUCUGGCAUUUUGAUCUGAUGGACCCAUUCACGUCAGUUUCAGGACCUCGCAAGUCAAUCAGCCAUGGCGAGCAGAUGAGGAAAAACAUGUUUGGUUUGUUGCUCCCCCUGAUGGAGUUUGUACUACAGUACUAGUUUUUUUUUUUUGACAAGAUACUACAGUACUAGUUAUCUUGAUGAAUAAAGAAGGGUGAUGCUUUGCUUAAAAAAACAUAGAAAAGAUAUUACACCAAAAGGAGUACUUACUAUUGUUUGCGAGAAAAAAAAAUGGCGCCAGCCGCCAGCUGCUAUACAUCCAGUAUGCCAGUGUAGCCAGCGACUUGCAAUUGAAGGACCGAAAACGGCGACAAGAAGGGGGUGAAUGGGAGCCUCAAAUUUUCUCUCGAAAAUAUUUGGCCACUGUCCCAAAAUCACCGCCAAACACAAGCAACUUGCUAAGACCAAAAUACUCUAGUCAACUUGUGACAAAAGUACCUAGAACAAUUCUUUGGAACGGCAGAAAAGCAACGCAACAGACGAGACACGAUUCAGAGCUCAAACGACAAAAUCAGAUGCAAAACACUGAAUCGAGGCCAGAAAAAAAUUGACAGAAAAUCCCCUGAAAAAUUUACAGAGUGCUUCCUGUAGAUAAGAGUGACAACUCAAAAUACGAUCACCAAAUUCACAAGCUGCUGGAAAGCUGAUAGCAUACUGCUCUUCACGAAGCUGAGCACACACAGACUAGCCAUUUAGGCUCCUCGGGCGAGCACCUGCUUUGGUGCUGGGCGAGCAACACACAGAGAGCAAAAACCUACGUACAUGUCUCCAUCGAUAAACUGCUUAGAGCUAGACAAAAAUAAAUCCAGGAAGCAGAGGAAGAAAUCAAACACAUGAGAUGCUACUCCUGAAAUUGAUGUUCUGUGGGCACAAGCUCCUGGAACAAGAACAACCUGAAACAAUUGAACUGCAAGAGCAACUCAAGCACUGCUUGAUACCUAUUGAACCGUAACAAACACAAGCUGGAAAAAUUUGGUCAGAACAUACAGCAGGCAACGAGCGACCAAUCCUACUCAGUACUAGAAUCUGGCUGGAUUGCACCGGAGAUCAGUGGAAAGCCUAACCAAAAACAAAACUAGCACCUGAGAGAAACUAGGAGGAGCACGGGUCUGCUCGUGCUCAGGCACUGGGAGCCACGAGCGAGCGCCAGCUCCGACGGUCCUGCUCCCCGAGCGUGCACCUGAGACCGACGAACAAAAAUGGAUGAACUGACAAGAACGGAGCAGCGCUAAUUCCAGGGAAAACCAACGACACAGCAAAGAGAGGAAAAACAAGCCCGUCAGUCGCUGCUCAGAAGAGCACGAUCGGUGCGUCAAACACCGGCGCUGGUAGCGUUAGAACAGAGAGGCUUGAAGAACUCAGCAAGAAAGGGGCGACCCAAAAUUCGACGAAAUCCAUAUCAAAACUCUAUGAAUCGCUCCCAAACUUUGCACAGGCUAAAUUCACGAAAGAAGGAAGCUAUUCCCCAAAAAUCAUUGCUUGGAAUUAACUCAAACUCUGGAAAAUUCAGAUCAUAGCAAAGAACGAAAAAGGGAAAAAAACGAUGAACUUGGACAGCGAAAAUCAUAGACACAAAAUAAGAAUCCCGAAGGACAAAAGGAGGAUUUGGGCCUCCAUUCCCACUUCAAAACACAACAAAAAUGCUACAAAUUUUUCUCAGUUCAUGAAUCUCUAAGACUUGGGAGAAAGAGCUAAACCUAGAGAGAAAGGA
rnacentral:lncRNA from 1 species